rnacentral:rRNA from 1 species
UGGGGAAUAUUGCACAAUGGGCGCAAGCCUGGUGCAGCCAUGCCGCGUGUGUGAAGAAGGCCUUCGGGUUGUAAAGCACUUUCAGCGAGGAGGAAGGUGGUGAGCUUAAUACGCUCAUCAAUUGACGUUACUCGCAGAAGAAGCACCGGCUAACUCCGUGCCAGCAGCCGCGGUAAUACGGAGGGUGCAAGCGUUAAUCGGAAUUACUGGGCGUAAAGCGCACGCAGGCGGUUUGUUAAGUCAGAUGUGAAAUCCCCGGGCUCAACCUGGGAACUGCAUUUGAAACUGGCAAGCUAGAGUCUCGUAGAGGGGGGUAGAAUUCCAGGUGUAGCGGUGAAAUGCGUAGAGAUCUGGAGGAAUACCGGUGGCGAAGGCGGCCCCCUGGACGAAGACUGACGCUCAGGUGCGAAAGCGUGGGGCAGCAAACAGGAUUAGAUACCCUGGUAGUCCACGCUGUAAACGAUGUCGAUUUGGAGGUU